CCUACGGGGAGCUGCAGUGAGGAAUAUUGGUCAAUGGUCGGGAGACUGAACCAGCCAAGCCGCGUGAGGGAUGAAGGUACAGAGUAUCGUAAACCUCUUUUGUCAGGGAACAAAGGCGGGGACGCGUCCCCGGAUGAGUGUACCUGGAGAAAAAGCAUCGGCUAACUCCGUGCCAGCAGCCGCGGUAAUACGGAGGAUGCGAUCGUUAUCCGGAUUUAUUGGGUUUAAAGGGUGCGCAGGCGGGCUGUUAAGUCGGCGGUCAAAGCCCGGGGCUCAACCCCGCCGCGCCGUUGAAACUGGCAGUCGCGAGUUGGAGAGAGGUAUGCGGAAUGCGCGGUGUAGCGGUGAAAUGCAUAGAUAUCGCGCAGAACGCCGAUUGCGAAGGCAGCAUGCCGGCUCCACACUGACGCUGAGGCACGAAAGCGUGGGUAUCGAACAGGAUUAGAUACCCUGGUAGUC
rnacentral:rRNA from 1 species